CUACCAGACAGGAAAUAAACAACAACAGGAGAAACACAAUAUUCAAAUUUCUGUUUUAGACCACCUUUUCUGUGAUGUAGGUGUGGUGUAUCUGAGGGGUGGUCUUAGGUUACACCCCUUCUGUGAUGUAUGUAUGAUGUUUCUGGGGGUGGUCUUGAUCUACAGGGUGGCAAUUUCAAAAGUCUUUAUAAGGCCUUGCACGCCAUUUUUCUGGGUGCCUCCUCCUCUCCUUCGGGUGAGGGGAGCACCCUGUUGCAACAGUUCAAUAAAGAUCAAGCUUACUAGCUGCUUUGCUUCUCAAUAUUCUCUGGUUGGCCUCUGUUAUUCUCUCCUACCAAUAAGGAACCUAUGUAAGGACUCUAUAGGGGCUCUUAGAUACCCCAUAAGGGAAAAGGGCA